UAUUAAAAUUUUCAUAUAUUUCUACUGUUAAAAAUUGACGUGAUAAACGGAAUAACCAAACAUAUUUGACAUGCCAAGUGCACCUCAUUUUGAGGUACAUGACCAGUUUUUAACCGUAAAAAUAGAUGUAAUUUUGUAGUA
rnacentral:pre_miRNA from 1 species